AUAGGUCCUAGUUAUAGUCACUACUAUAGGUCCUAGAUAUAGUCACUACUAUAGGUCCUAGUUAUAGUCACUACUAAAGGUCCUAGUUAUAGUCACUACUACAGGUCCUAGUUAUAGUCACUACUACAGGUCCUAGUUAUAGUCACUACUACAGGUCCUAGUUAUAGUCACUACUAUAGGUCCUAGAUAUAGUAUAGGUCCUAGUUAUAGUCACUACUAUAGGUCCUAGUUAUAGUCACUACUAUAGGUCCUAGUUAUAGUCACUACUAUAGGUCCUAGUUAUAGUCACUACUAUAGGUCCUAGUUAUAGUCACUACUAUAGGUCCUAGUUAUAGU